rnacentral:piRNA from 1 species
UGGUCACCCUGUUGUAGCUAACUGUGCCAGC